GGACAGCACAGUCAUGAUUUAAAUGGUUUAAAUGCAGUUUCCACAUCCCUCCUUGCAGUCAGAGCAUUAGCUUUAGAUCCCUGUCUGAGCCUGAGCCCUAGGCCACCUGGUGGGUAAUCCAGCUGUGAUGGGAUCUCCAGGUUUUUUCCCCCUUUGUGCAGAUUUUGUUCAGAUUUUCACUUCACACGAGAUGAUUGAUCCCUGUGAGCUCCCCUGUAAAGGUCUUGUCUUCAGAACUGGAACAUGGUUUAAAAGCCACAGCUACGUUUCCUGAUCAGCAAAUUUUUCCUGAAAUUUGGAAUCCCUUG